GGCAAAGUUGGCAAAAGUUUGAUAGGCUGAGCAGCACAGAGGAAGAAGUGGGAAAGAUCAAGUUGUUAGUGACCAUAGAAGACACUGGUGUGGGAAUUCCUCUUGAAGCACAGGCCCGCAUUUUCACACCUUUUAUGCAGGCUGACAGUUCAACAUCUCGAACAUAUGGCGGAACAGGGAUAGGAUUGAGCAUUAGCAAACGUU
rnacentral:misc_RNA from 1 species